UAUAAGUACAGCAAGUAGUGGAACUUGCAAAAUAAAUCUACAGCGAUUAGUAAAGUAAUUAAAAUUUUAGUAAUUAAAAUUUUUAGGUUGGAGGGGGGGGUUUGACAUCUCCCCCAGAAAAUAUGAAGACUGAUGCAUCUUGUAAUACUACUACUCAAAUAAGGUCAGAGGGGGUAACCGCUACUCCCUUCUUCAAAAAUAAAUACUUUGAUGCAUCUUGUUUUAGUACUACUGUAUUAUGGUUAGAGGAGGUAACUCCCACCCCCUCUGCAAAAAUGAGUACUCUGAUGCAUCUUUUAAUACUACUACUGUAAUAUGGUUAGAGGGGGCAGGAUACGCCCUUUUCUCGUGUCUUUGUGUACAUCACUACUUAGUUUUAAAGAUGUAAAAAAAAAUUAUUCAUUUUAUAAACUUGAUCUAUUAGAUGUAUAUUUUGAAAUAAAGAUAAAAAUGAUUAUGAGAAUGAUUGUUUUUUUAAAUUAGGGUGUGUUGAAUUUUAACACCUAAGGUCCACCCCAUAUUUUUAAUAAACCUCUGAUAUUUGGCAGUGAAGUGUAAUGAAAUUGUAACAACUUUUUGCAAAUGAAAUAGACCGGUUUCCUGAAGAAACACUUUUUUAUUUAGAAAAAUCUCUUUUUAUUGACCGCAAAGACAGCGUAUCUAUGCGCCCGCCGCCGCCGACGGUAUGCCAAAUUGCUCAAGGUUGUUAUAAUUUUGUAGGUUAUUCUUGCACCUAUUUUUUAAUGCCAAGAUAUAAGGAUUUUGAUGAGAAUUGACUAAGUUAUGAUAGUUUUAGUAAAAAAAAAAACUUAUUUUGCGUCAGUUUUAUCAAGAAAUCCAUAUAUUGUUAAUUCGUCACUUAAUCAAGUAUAAAUUUUUAUGGAAUUGUCCGAUUUUUAUAAUUUUUUCACUUUUGAAAAAUUGAAUUAAAGACCUUUCUAAUGAUAUAUAACAAUCUACUAUUUAAUUAAUUUAAAAUUUUC